CUGGGGAUGCUGGUCCUGUGCCAUCCAGGGGAUCCUUUCAGCCUCCUCAUCUCUCCAUGCAAAAAGCAAGUGGGUGAGGGUCCACUCCCCAGAAGAAGGAGGAUUUUUUCCACCUCAUGGCCUUGCAAUGUUUUCUCAACAUCACUAGUGAUCCUUCCUUCCAUCUGCCCUCUUCCCUUGUGUGAUGCUGGUGCAGUUCUCCCCACCUGGAAGUGUGCACCCCACCUUGGAGGCAGGCACAUGGAGCUCAUCAUCCUGGAGACCCUGAUCCCUGACCACCAGGGGGAAUUGCAGGAAGCAAAGGGACCAGACCCAGCUGUCAAGGGAUGCUGAAGAGAAAUCCUGAUGGCAAGACAGAACAAAACUGACCAUGCAGCCAAAAGACGUGGACCAAUGGACAGUCAUUACAGUGUCUGAACGUGAGUUUUAACCAGUCAGC